GUUUGUUUGAAGUUAUAAAGAAUUUGACCUGCCCCCUGAUUAACUAUUAAAGGGCCGCAGUAUUAUAACUGUGCAAAGGUAGCAUAAUCAUUAGGUUUUUAAUUGAAAUCUCGUAUGAAUGGUUGGACAAAAGAAAGACUCUCUUUAUAUUAAGUUUUGAAUUUAACUUUUAAGUGAAAAGGCUUAAAUAUUCUAAAGGGACGAUAAGACCCUAUAAAACUUUACAUUGUCAUUAAUUUUGAUUGAAUUUAUAAAAUAAGAAUUUUAUUUGAUCAUCUGUUAUGUUGGGGAGAUACAAGUAAAAUAUUUUUUUAACUGCUUGAUAGUUAUACAAUUAUUAGUGAGUAAGUAGAAGAUCCUUUUUAAGAUUAGUAGAUUAAGUUACUUUAGGGAUAACAGUGUAAUUUCUUUUGAGAGUUCUUAUCGAAAAAGAAGGUUGCAACCUCGAUGUUGAAUUAAAAUAUCUAUAUAAUGGAGAGGUUAUAUAAGAAGGUCUGUUCGACCUUGAAAUUUUUACAUGAUUUGAGUUCAAACCGGUGUGAG
rnacentral:rRNA from 1 species